AAAGAAGGGAAGUCAACAGUUCAAAUAGUAGUUUCUUGAAAAUGCCCCGAGGGCCUGUAUAAUGAGACCUUGACUCUCCUGGACUGCAUCGAAUUGUAAUGCACUUUAUUGUUCGGUGACUAUUUGGAUUUUAAUGCCAUCAUGCCCUGGAUGGCCUCGCCUGACAAUCUGGAAGCCUGAGGGAAAAGAUGACAUUUUCACCAGUAUUAUUAGGAAGGAUGGGAACAGGGCUCGCAUCUUUAAUUCACUGAGAUCUGUGUGUGGCUGAGAACACUGACGUGCCUGCGGGCAUAUGGCUUACAAUGUGGAGAUGGAUCUUAUUGCUGCUGGAAGCAUCCCUGAAGCCUAGAGAUAUCCCUCGCUCUCCUUUGGAUGUAGAGACAAG
rnacentral:lncRNA from 1 species